rnacentral:rRNA from 1 species
UCCGCAGGCGGGCAAUUAAGUCAGGGGUGAAAUGGUGCGGCUCAACCGUAGCACUGCCCUUGAUACUGGUUGUCUUGAGUCAUAGUGAAGUGGCCGGAAUAUGUAGUGUAGCGGUGAAAUGCAUAGAUAUUACAUAGAACACCGAUUGCGAAGGCAGGUCACUAACUAUGUACUGACGCUGACGGACGAAAGCGUGGGGAGCGAACAGGAUUAGAUACCCUGGUAGUCC